rfam:Trichobilharzia regenti genome assembly, scaffold: TRE_scaffold0001492
AUCCAACUGACGAGUCCCGAUUAGGACGAAACGCGCAUCCCGGUGGAU